AUCCGUAUGUCCAGCCGCAAUGCCAUUACCAGUUCCUACACUUCUACUGGAGGCAUCUCUCACCUCUGGAAGAGGCGUCCCAGUGCCUCACCCUUCUCCAGCCCAGCCUCGUCCUGCUCACAGACACCAGAGAGUCCAGAAAAGAAAAUGAGAGAAGAGGACGGUCCUCAGGUAUCUGGCUCUUCCGCUCCGCCAGUAAACAAGGAGUCCCAGGGAGAACAGGGUAAGUUGAUGAACGCAUGGCAUGUGUUGGCGGUAGUGUAUCGAGGGCGCAUGGACCACAACCCACUGGAAACACGUACUGAGCCUUGAUUUGUGUGGGGCUUGGUAGUUACAGAGAGAGAUGUUCCUGUCCUUCGGGGUUUAUGGUCUGGUAAGGGAGAAAGGUUGCCCAGACUUGUAUAGCAUAACCCAGGCCACCUGGGGGGUUUGGGGUAAGGUAAGCCUAGGUGGGGGAAUCUGAGCAGACUAGGCAAUUUCUGUCCAGUAAGCAACCAUGUGCAUGCAUUUGGAGCAAUGACCACUUCACAUCAUCUUGACUGUUAGAAAUAAUCUUGCCAACACCAUCCAAGCACCCAAACCAUAGAAGAAAGAAUCUCAGAGACACCUAGUGAAAGUUCAGUAUUAAAAACUAGGCUGGAUAGACAAACCUCUCCAUUUCUGGAAGAGAGCAGGAAGAAAGUAAGUCUGAUACUUUAUUUGCAGAUACAACCAUAUGUAGGGAGCAGAACUCCUGGGAUUCUCUACCUACACCCAGCAGCUCCCAGACACGCAGACGCAAGGUUCCCCUGGUGCCCUCCAGACAACAGAUCCUGCUGAUGUUGGUAUGGUCUGUCCACCCACCCCUGCCCACGCCAGUCUGGCUCCCCUGCGUCUCAGGAACAGAAGGGUUGGUACAGGUUUCUUUCACUUCCUUCUGACUGGCUUGGCUUCUCCUUUUUCUCUUGGUAGCCUCCAGCUCCCUGGAUUGGCCGCUGGAUCACGGUCAAAGAGUAUUACCAGGAGAAGCAAGCUCAGUCACAGUGGCUGAAGAGGAUCUUCGAGGAUAAGACUGCCAUCACCUCCAGCUUUGGAGCAGUGACCCAGACCACCAGCUGUGGGACCAGUACAGGGUUUGGCAGCACCAUCUCAGCGCCCUUCACAUUCAGGGUGUCAGCAGGCCCCACUGGCAGUGGG